rnacentral:rRNA from 1 species
AGCGUUAGAGGGCGACGCAGGCGUAACGCCGACCAUAGGAGCUUGCUCUUAUGAAGUUAGCGGCGGACGGGUGAGUAACACGUGGGUAACCUGCCCAUAAGACUGGGAUAACUCCGGGAAACCGGGGCUAAUACCGGAUAACAUUUUGAACCGCAUGGUUCGAAAUUGAAAGGCGGCUUCGGCUGUCACUUAUGGAUGGACCCGCGUCGCAUUAGCUAGUUGGUGAGGUAACGGCUCACCAAGGCAACGAUGCGUAGCCGACCUGAGAGGGUGAUCGGCCACACUGGGACUGAGACACGGCCCAGACUCCUACGGGAGGCAGCAGUAGGGAAUCUUCCGCAAUGGACGAAAGUCUGACGGAGCAACGCCGCGUGAGUGAUGAAGGCUUUCGGGUCGUAAAACUCUGUUGUUAGGGAAGAACAAGUGCUAGUUGAAUAAGCUGGCACCUUGACGGUACCUAACCAGAAAGCCACGGCUAACUACGUGCCAGCAGCCGCGGUAAUACGUAGGUGGCAAGCGUUAUCCGGAAUUAUUGGGCGUAAAGCGCGCGCAGGUGGUUUCUUAAGUCUGAUGUGAAAGCCCACGGCUCAACCGUGGAGGGUCAUUGGAAACUGGGAGACUUGAGUGCAGAAGAGGAAAGUGGAAUUCCAUGUGUAGCGGUGAAAUGCGUAGAGAUAUGGAGGAACACCAGUGGCGAAGGCGACUUUCUGGUCUGUAACUGACACUGAGGCGCGAAAGCGUGGGGAGCAAACAGGAUUAGAUACCCUGGUAGUCCACGCCGUAAACGAUGAGUGCUAAGUGUUAGAGGGUUUCCGCCCUUUAGUGCUGAAGUUAACGCAUUAAGCACUCCGCCUGGGGAGUACGGCCGCAAGGCUGAACUCAAAGGGAAUUGACGGGGGCCCGCACAAGCGGUGGAGCAUGUGGUUUAUUUCGAAGCAACGCGAAGAACCUAACCGGUUCUUACCUUCUUCUGCCACCCCUGAGGAAAGGCCUUCCCCUUCGGAACCAAAUUACCAGUUGGGCCAGGGUGUUCGUCAGUUCGGUUCGGGAAAGGUGGGGUUAAUUCCCCCAAGAAGCCCAACCUUUGUUUUUAUUUCCCUCCAUUAAGUUGGCCCUUUAAAGGGGACGCCGGGGGCCAACCCGAGGGAAGGUGGGAAGGAGUUCAAUUCUCCAUCCCCCUAUUACCUUGGGUUCCCCCCGGGUUCCAAUGGCCGUUCCAAAAAGUGCCAAGCCCGGAGGGGGGAGUAAUUUUCAAAAACCCUUUUCCAUUUGGGAUUUUAGGUGCCAAUUGCCUUCCAGGAAGCGGAAAUCGUUGGUAUUCGGGGUUCACCAGGCCCCGGGAAAAACUUUCCCGGCCUUAGGGUCCCCCCCCCCGGCACCCCCACAAGAGUUUUUUAGUCGAAACCGAUCCCGUGUGGUGACAUGCCGCCGCAUCGUGCCCGUAGAGUCCUUU